rnacentral:misc_RNA from 1 species
AAGUCGUAACAAGGUCUCCGUAGGUGAACCUGCGGAGGGAUCAUUACAGAGUUCGUGCCCUUACGGGUAGAUCUCCCACCCUAUGUUAUUAUUACUAUGUUGCUUUGGCGGGACGUUGAGGUUCGCCUCCCCACCGGCUCCGGCUGGUGUGCGCCUGCCAGAGGACCCAAAACCCUGAAUAUUAGUGUCGUCUGAGUACUAUAUAAUAGUUAAAACUUUCAACAACGGAUCUCUUGGUUCUG